CACGUAGGGGGCAAGCGUUGUCCGGAAUCAUUGGGCGUAAAGAGCUCGUAGGCGGCUCGGUAAGUCGGGUGUGAAACCCCCCAGGCUCAACCUGGGGACGCCACCCGAUACUGCUGUGGCUAGAGUCCAGUAGGGGAGUGUGGAAUUCCCGGUGUAGCGGUGAAAUGCGCAGAUAUCGGGAGGAACACCAGCGGCGAAGGCGGCACUCUGGGCUGGAACUGACGCUGAGGAGCGAAAGCGUGGGUAGCAAACAGG
rnacentral:rRNA from 1 species